GACAGAGGGUGCAAACGUUGUUCGGAAUUACUGGGCGUAAAGCGCGUGUAGGCGGCUAAGUAAGUCGGGCGUGAAAUCCCACGGCUCAACCGUGGAAGUGCACUCGAAACUGCAUAGCUAGAGUCCUGGAGAGGAAGGUGGAAUGCUUGGUGUAGAGGUGAAAUUCGUAGAUAUCAAGCGGAACACCGGUGGCGAAGGCGGCCUUCUGGACAGUGACUGACGCUGAGACGCGAAAGCUAGGGGAGCGAACAGG
rnacentral:rRNA from 1 species